CGAUGACACCAAGCUGUGUGGUUCGGUUGAUACGCUGGAGGGAAGGAAUGCCAUCCAGAGGGACCUUGACAUGCUUGUGAGGGGGCUGAUGCCAACCUCAUGAAGUUUAACCAUGACAAGUGCAAGGUCCUACACCUGGGUCGGAGCAAUCCCAGGCACAACUACAGCUACAGGUUGGGCAGAGAAGAGAUUCAGAGCAGCCCUGCGGGGAAGGAAUUGGGGGUUUUGGUCAAUGAGAUAAUGAACAUGAGCUGGCUUCAGUGUGCACGCGCAGCCCAGAAAGCCAACUGUAUCCUGGGCUGCAUCAAAAGGAGCGUGACCAGCAGGUCGAAGGAGGUGAUCCUGCCCCUCUGCUCUGCUCUCGUGAGACCUCACUUGGAGUAUUGUGUGCAGUUCUGGUGUCCUCAACAUAAAGAGGACAUGGAACUGUUGGAACAAGUCCAGAGGAGGGCCACGAGGAUGAUCAGGGGACUGGAGCACCUCCCAUAUGAAGAUAGGCUGAGGAAGUUGGGGCUGCUCAGCCUGGAGAAGAGAAGGCUGCAUGGAGACCUCAUAGCAGCCUUCCAGUAUCUGAAGGGGGCCUAUAGGGAUGCGGGGGAGGGACUCUUCAUUAGGGACUGUAGUGACAGGACAAGGGGUAAUGGGUUAAAACUUAAACAGGGGAAGUUUAGAUUGGAUAUAAG